AACACCACAUUCCUAACCACUGUGUGAAUUCAAUUUCAAUUUCAGAUCUUUCUCAUGCUGAUGAAUAUACGAUUCAUAUCACAAUGAGGGUAUCCUUCAACUUAGAUAAUGAAAGUAAAUCUUAACUUAGAUUACUGAAAUUGGGUUUUGCUAAUUUUUGAAAUAAUUUUGGUGAGAAUAUUUCUAAUGUAAUGUAGGGUAAACACAAUAACAUUGUAUUGGCUUCAGUACCUAGGUGAAAUUACAAAUUCACAAUAUCAUCUGCCGAAUUCAAGCCAAUGAUUGAAUCUGAUGAUUUUGGUUGUCCAACCUCCGGAGUUUAAACUGUAAACUUGAUUUCAACGGGAAGAAGGAUAAGGAGAAGAGAAAGUUAAAUAAACUUUGUUAUCUUCGCACAAUCAGGUGUAUCUCGCAUGCAUUUUCCUAGAAAUUCGUGAACCGCCUUAUUGUUUAAGUGUUUGUUGAAGCCUACUGCAUUUACAAAAGACAGAAGUGGGAUGGCGAAAUUCAGUUUAAAAUUCCUUCUGUUUGUCCUGUUGUGGAACAUCUCAAUAGGGAUUAUAUGUAAUUACUUUUCUUCUUGAAUUUUUGCUAUAAAAUUGUAAGCUUGACAAUAGCUAUGUACCUAUCAUACAGUUUAUUAAUUUAGCAGGUUAAUGUUCAA